rnacentral:rRNA from 1 species
AUUGAACGCUGGCGGCAGGCCUAACACAUGCAAGUCGAACGAGUGGCGGACGGGUGAGUAAUGUCUGGGAAACUGCCCGAUGGAGGGGGAUAACUACUGGAAACGGUAGCUAAUACCGCAUACCAUCGGAUGUGCCCAGAUGGGAUUAGCUUGUAGGUGGGGUAACGGCUCACCAAGGCGCCGAUCCCUAGCUGGUCUGAGAGGAUGACCAGCCAAACGGGAAAUGAGACACGGUCCAGACGCCUACGGGAGGCAGCAGUGGGGAAUAUUGCACAAUGGGCGAAAGCCGGAUGCAGCCAUGCCGCGGGUAUGAAGAAGGCCUUCGGGUUGUAAAGUACUUUCAGCGGGGAGGCGUUACCCGCAGAAGAAGCACCGGCUAACUCCGUGCCAGCAGCCGCGGUAAUUC